AAGCCGUGCGGUGAACUCACAGCGAAUUAUUCUUUCGCCUUUUACUAAAGGAUACCGUGUGUUCGCCGUUUCAAGCGGCAUACGCCUAUUUUUGGAGGGACCUAUUUUACGAUUGGUCC
rnacentral:snRNA from 2 species